UACGGAGGGUGCAAGCGUUACUCGGAAUCACUGGGCGUAAAGCGCGCGCAGGCGGCUAGAUAAGUUGGAAGUGAAAUCCUAUGGCUCAACCAUAGAACUGCUUCCAAAACUGUUUAGCUAGAGUCUGGGAGGGGAAGAUGGAAUUAGUAGUGUAGGGGUAAAAUCCGUAGAGAUUACUAGGAAUACCAAAAGCGAAGGCGAUCUUCUGGAACAGUACUGACGCUGAGGCGCGAAAGCGUGGGGAGCAAACAGGAUUAGAUACCCUGGUAGUCCACGCCCUAAACGAUGAAUGUUAGUCGUCGGGACUCUAGUAGUUUCGGUGAUGCAGUUAACACAUUAAACAUUCCGCCUGGGGAGUACGGUCGCAAGAUUAAAACUCAAAGGAAUAGACGGGGACCCGCACAAGUGGUGGAGCAUGUGGUUUAAUUCGAAGAUACGCGAAGAACCUUACCUAGCCUUGACAUAUUUUAGAACUCCGCAGAGAUGUAGAGGUGCCUUCGGGAGCUAAUAUACAGGUGCUGCACGGCUGUCGUCAGCUCGUGUCGUGAGAUGUUGGGUUAAGUCCCGCAACGAGCGCAACCCUCGUUCUUAGUUACUAACGGUUCGGCCGAGGACUCUAAGAAGACUGCCUUCGUAAGGAGGAGGAAGGUGAGGACGACGUCAAGUCAUCAUGGCCCUUACGGCUAGGGCAACACACGUGCUACAAUGGUUAGGACAAUGAGACGCAAUACCGCGAGGUGGAGCAAAUCUAUAAACCUAAUCUCAGUUCGGAUUGUAGUCUGCAACUCGACUACAUGAAGCUGGAAUCACUAGUAAUCGUAGAUCAGCUAUGCUA
rnacentral:rRNA from 1 species